rnacentral:rRNA from 1 species
UACAGAGGUGCCAAGCGUUAGGCGGAAUUACUGGGCGUAAAGCGCGCGCAGGCGGCUCUUUAAGUCUACCCGUGAAAUGCCGGAGCUCAACUCCGUGCACGCCGGGGGAUACUGGAGAGCUGGAGACGAGUAGAGGCAAGCGGAAUUCCGGGUGUAGCGGUGGAAUGCGUAGAGAUCCGGAAGAACACCGGAGGCGAAGGCGGCUUGCUGGGCUUGGUCUGACGCUGAGGCGCGAAAGCGUGGGGAGCAAACAGG